rfam:Myotis brandtii contig171848, whole genome shotgun sequence.
GGUGGUUCUUUGGUGACGCACCCCGGAAUCAGGCUCCCUCCUCUCUAGUUCUUCCGGGUGUGUCACCAGAGAACCGCA